rfam:Rattus norvegicus chromosome X, whole genome shotgun sequence.
GGGGAUUUGGCUCAGUGGUAGAGCGCUUGCCUAGGAAGCGCAAGGUCCUGGGUUCGAUCCCCAGCCCUG